UAUUAUUGCACGGAGAUUCAAUCCAAGCCAAGCCAAAGUGGCCAGUGCGAGUUGUGGCGUGUUUUGUAUAGUGUGUCGGUAAUCUUGUCACGUUAUGAGGCGAUACCGAAGCUACACGGCUCAUUUCAAGCUGAAAGUGAUAGAUUGUGCACUAAACAACGGCAACAGGGCCUCCGGUAGGCCCUUCGGAGUCUACGAGUUUUGUGUUCGCUACUGGUGACGGCAGCUGAAAGCCACCAAGACCCGUUGGGCCUUCCGUGUGCUUAAAACUGGCAUGUCAUAGCCAUGUGAAGGCCGCUCAAUGAAAAACACACGGUGUGGCCUGAUGCGUGGAGCGGAUACUGAAUGGCCAUGGCCUCCGAGAUGGUGGCCGAGCGGCGGGUUUUUCUCCAGCCGUCCCAAUUGCACGGAGAGAGCUUGCUCCUAGAGGUGGGCAUGGCCCACUCUUUUCUCCGCACCGCGUCGCUCUUACGCAUGGUAGAAAAGGCUGUAGCGCUGUUGGGAAAGCUUGCAUGUGGCGAGAAAAAAUGGUUUUGCGCUUUUAUAUAACUUCGCGCUCAAUUGGGAGUGUCGGGUCAAAGUGUACGAGAGACAAGGACAAUGUUUGGGCAUGUAUAUUCUCAAAUGGGCUUUUGGUGCAGUAGAUUUGCGCCGCCCAUAUUAGAGCUCUUAUAAUUGCAAUGCCUCAGCAAGAGGACCCAUGUGCUGGAAACUUGCUGUACUUCGAAGUUUGUAGGCUGUAUAGUAUGGAGGGUACUGCUGAAGAAAAAAAAAUGUCCUGAUAAACACGCGAAGUCAGAAGAGUGCCGCGUUCUAUGCUCACCGAUUACACUCGAUUAAAAGGGUUGCUUGCUG